rnacentral:rRNA from 1 species
UACGGAGGGGGCUAGCGUUGUUCGGAAUUACUGGGCGUAAAGCGCACGUAGGCGGCUUUGUAAGUUAGAGGUGAAAGCCCGGGGCUCAACUCCGGAAUUGCCUUUAAGACUGCAUCGCUAGAAUUGUCGAGAGGUAAGUGGAAUUCCGAGUGUAGAGGUGAAAUUCGUAGAUAUUCGGAAGAACACCAGUGGCGAAGGCGACUUACUGGACACAUAUUGACGCUGAGGUGCGAAAGCGUGGGGAGCAAACAGG